ACCCACCAUUGGUACCAAACAUGGUUUAUUAUGAUAACAAAAAAAUUCUUAACCAUCCCCCAUUUUGAUGGAGUUUUCCAGCAUCAGUUUUCAUGUGAUGGCUCUGGGUAUCAUCGGUCUUUUGCCUCUCAACAUUUAGCUACAUGUUUAAGAAUAACAAGUUCAGGUCAACCAGACAAGGUGCUUCUCUUUUCCUCUUCUCGAAUUGUCUUGUUUCCUCCACCUCCCUCCCAGAAUCCUGUCAUGCACCCUUACUGCUUCAGUGGGUGCUCCCCUGUAUGGCUGGCAGCCUCUUCUCUGUUCUACCAGAUGUCCCCCUAAAUUUGUUCUUUUACAUUUAUUUUAUUUUAUGUGUAUUUUUUUUGCCUGUAUAUAUGUACGUAUACUACAUGAACACCCGGUGUCCAUGGGGGUCAGAAGAGGGCAUUAGGUCCUCUAGAACUGGAGUUACAUAUAGUUGCCAAUCAGCAUGUGGGUCCUGGGGGCUGGACCUGAAUCCUUUGCAAGAGUGACAGGUACUCUUAACCACUGAGUCAUCUCAGGAGUCCAAGACUUCCUUUCUUUUGGAUGUUGUUCACCACAUCACUUCUUUGUUGCUUAAAACACAUUCAAUGGCUUUCUUAAGAAAAGAUUACUGGAAAUGAGUAUUUUGAUGUCUCAAUUAUGUUAAAUGUAUUUACUUACUAUUUUGGAGACUGUACAGCUGAGAAUAGAACUCUGAGUGAACAAAUCACUUUAUUUAGAAUACUGCAAGGAAAUAUUUUUCUUGAUUUUCUUUUUUCUUUGGGCAAUACUAAAGACUGAACUUCACAGGCACACUGCAAGAACUCUUGUUCUGCCUCGGAGCCACACCCCCAUUCUCCAAAUCACACCCCAUCCAUCAAGCCACGCCCCCCGCCCCUCCAGCUCUUAUUUUUAGUUCUCUGUGUCUCUGCUGAGGAAUCUUACAGAACUCCUGUUUCUGGUUUUAUUUUGUGAUAUAACCAAUCUACAAGAAAAACCCUAAGGCAAGAAUAAUGGGUACCUGAAAACCACACACAUGAUCAUUUUACUGUGACCAUCAUGUUUGCUUUCAGUUGCUGUGAUAAACACUGACCCAGAGCAGCUAAGAGGAAGAAGGGGUUUACUUCAUUUUUACAGCUUACGGCCCAUAUCAAGGGAGAUCAAGGCAGGAGCUGAAGAAGAAACCACGGAGGAAUCUCCAAAAUAAGAGAAUAAAAUCAGACCGUGCUGAAAGCACAGCUAAGACUGUGACCCCGUAGGAGUCAGACAGAGCAAGAAGAACCUGAAUCAUGAUUCCGGAAACUAGGCUAAGGGUCAAAAAACAGCUGAGCUACUGAUCAACCAAAGGAGCAGCUGAUAAAUUCCCAGUUCCAGUCUUGAGGGAACAGCAUGGAAGAGGAGGCCCUUGAAUGUGUUUCUCCUUUGCAAACUGGAAACUGUUUCCUACUGAAGUUGUCUGCAGAGUUGUGUCAUCCAGGAUGACCACACGGAGGCACUGAGUUGGUCAGCAAGGUCAAUACUGGCUUGAGAGCAAGGUGGGUGAACUUCACUGCCCCUGUAUGGCUAUUCAGGCAGGCUGGUCACUCAACAAAGGUAGGCUAUUGCUUUGGUAAGAGGUGGCUAGUGAGGGGCUGUUCUGUGAGCAGUGCCCCUAGGUACCUGUCCAUCACUCCCACAUCUCCAGCCCCCGUUGCAGACCUACUCUGUGGAGCUGCAGAUGGAGAAUACAGAGUUUGACCAAAUGGCUUCAUGAAAAUGUUCUCACGGAGCGAUGACUUGGACAGCUAUGGGCAGGUUAGGAGACCGUGGGCAUGGUAAGGCUCUGUCACCAUUCUUGGGACUAAAGGACAGGGAGGGAAUAGUGGCCCAAGAGCGGAGUGAAAACCAGAACCAGGGAAGAAGUAAAGGAAAACAGAGACAGCUAGAAAGAUGGUAUCGUAGCAAACAGGAAGUAGAGAAAAAAAUAUCCUAGCCUUUCUCUCACUUUGCCUCUUCUCUCCCAGGUUUUAAGUCUAUUUAGAAACCAAAAGGCAGAGGAUCCUGGGCCCCAGUAUUUGCAGGGUUCAGUCUUAUAACCAGGAGCAAGGAGGAUGAGAAAGACUAGGGAAAGGUGGUGCUGGUAGUGGAGAACCACCCAUGUAUUGGUUACUUUUCUAAUUGCUGCAACAAAAUAGCCAACAAAAGGGGGGAAUUGCUUUGAGGAAUAGUUUGAGGACAGAUUUCAUCACCAGGGAAGGAAUGACAGAAGGCGAAGAAGGCAGCUAGUCACAUUGUGUCCACAGUGAGGAAACAGGUGAACACUAGUACUUAGUGUGCUUUCUCCUUUUGAUUCAGACUAGGACCUGGACUUAGGGAAUGGUGCCACCCACUUUGAGGGUUGGUCUUCCCAUCUCAAUCCAAUCUAGACCCUGCCAUAUUGCCAUUACAACUUCAAAACUGCCCUCUUCAUCUGCUGCCCUUGCUGCUGACUGAGAGAUGUCUCCCAGAGGUCAGCCUGCAUCUGGGGCUUUGCUCAGCCCUCUCCCAGUGUAUGCGCACUGAUCUUCCAGGGAGGUUCGCCCAUGCUCAGAACAAGCACAGAAACUUCUCUUAAGGCCAAAUACAAAUGGCUUUUGGAUUUCUCACCAUUUGGCUUCAUUAUUUGCACCAUUGCUUCUGUCUAUCACUGAGGAGAGCCGGGAGGUAUUUGGAUUGUCCUUGGCUUUCCAGGAUGACCUUGUAUAGGGCCGAUUACAAAGGGCUCACAAAGAUGUGUGAAUGUCACUUCACUCUUCACUCUGGCUCAGCAAAGCUUAAUCUUUGGCUUGUUACUGGAACCCUGAACUGAAGAACCUGUCACUGCACAUGGGUCUCACACGCCAAAGGGUUCAGUGGGGCCUGACAGUAAAAGAAUGAGCAUAGGCUGUGAACACCAGGGAAAUGUCUCCAGACGAGCAGGGGGAGGAGAUUUGAGCCUAUCUGUGCCAGCUGGAAGAAAAACCCAAAUAAUGGGAAAGAGGAGAUGUCACGGAGGCCCCAGGUAUAUUGAAUCAAGUUCAAGUCAGAGUAUGCAGGCUAGGGUUAGACUCAGAUAUGUAGAAGGUCUCAAUGGGGCCAAGGAGCUGGAACCCCAAGCCUCUUGCUCACUCCCACAGGAGCUCAGGUUUCUGGACACAUCGUCCCUGUGGACUGAGAUCCACCACCCAGCCCUGGAGAGGCUGAGAGCUGAUCUGUGCUCAGCAAUGGUGGACAGACACAAUGGUGGGGAAGUCACAUUGGAGGAGAAACAAGUGUCCCUAAGCUUAGAUGGCUUCAGUCAGGCCCCUAUUAGGGCUUUGUGACGCUGGAGGGGGCCCCUGUACCCCCAGGACUCCCUCUACUUAUCGUCAGCGAGGCCUCACCUUUCUUUCCCAGUCCCCUUUGAAUCCUCACUCUCUUUUGACGAGGAAACUUCAUUGGCUCGAAGGUGGGAAGGCAACAGAAGCACCAGUCUGUGAAUUCUGAUUAAAAUCUGUCGGUGAGGACAGGGGUUCUCACUCUGCUCAAAUCCAGGUUUGAUUCAUGUGCUCGUUCUAGACCCUGCAUUCUUCCCAGAACAAUAUGAUGCUCUGAUGGGUUGGAGUGGGAGUACAGGUACCUCCACCCCGACAAUGCAGAAUGACAGUGGGGAUUAUUGCCGGAAGGACGAGGAAGAUGAUCUCAGGUGUGGCCUCUGUAGCCUUGGGUCCCUCUCUACAGCUUUGAAGCCCUCUGCUUCUAACUCCCACGAUUACCUUCAUUUAUUUAUUUAUUUAUUUAUUUAAUGCAUAUGAGUACACUGUAGCUAGCUGUCUUCAAGCAUACCGGAAGAAGGCAUCAGAUCCCAUUACAGAUGGUUGUGAGCCACCAUGUGGUUGCUGGGAUUUGAACUCAGGACCUCUGGAAGAGCACUCAUCUCUCCAGCUCUACAAUUCCCUUCUUAAAUUCAGAUCUGGUCCCUGGCACCUCCCCUUUAAGGAGGAAUCAUCCAGGUGGCCUAUUUACAUAACAAUCACUCCUGGACACUCAAAGAGUAAAGAUCUCUGGGCUUUUCAGAGCUCAGGAGGGGAGAUGUAUACAUACAUAUCUUGAGUUGGCACCAUCUGCCUUUUUAGGGGUCUGGUGCCUGAAAAUGAAAAUUUGGAGUUUCACAGUUGUGUUCAGGGGAACACAUGAAAAGAAUCUGGCAGGUCUGGGCUUCCUGGUUAGAGAUCUUAUCAGGAUUUUUCCUGGAACCCAGCUCUGUUAUUCUCCACUGUUAGAAUCCAAGGCUUCCCUCUUCCAAGUUAGGUGCUGGGCCAAGUAUCAAGCCCCCGCAGACAGGACAUUUUAUGCAAUUUCACUUUCCAUAGUGCAAAGCUUAAUUAGGGGCUGAUGGGAGAACUGCUGUGCAGACCACAAGAGUGAAUGACAAUAGUUCCAUGAAAAUGUGGACCCACCCCUCAGGCUGUGAGCUCUUGAGAUCAGAGGCUCUUUAACACUUCACAUAUCAUCAGCGAUAGCCCUACCACUGAUCUGACACCCAUUAUAGCUUGGUCCCUUUCUUGCCUGGCUCUUAAGUGACUGCAAGGCAUUAGUUAUACCUUACAGGCUUUGCUGUGCUUUCUUUUAAAAAAAAAAACUUAAAUUUUGCUUCCGACCACAAAUGACAAUAUAUAUUAAUUAUAGAAAUUUGAAAAAAACUCAAUGCAGGAAAAAGGAACAAUUAUAAAAUGUUUAUGUAAUUUCUGUUAGCCUGUGCAUAUAGUUGUUUUAAAAAGACCACUUCAUGUAAGUAUCUACCUUUCUCUUGAAGUACAUUUUUCUGUACCAUUCUUCCAUACCCUUCAGGACUGACUUCCCUGCUUUCCGUUGCAUUUAACUUAUGCCCAUCCCCACCCCAUAGCAAAUACUAUAAUGAGUGUAGGGGAAAGUCUGUGCAAGCGCAUGACUGUUUUCUUAGGGUACAUUUGUGCAGGCAGAACUGCUGGACCAUUCACUACGGGUGUUCUUACAGCUUUGGAGGACUGUUGCUAACACAUCACUCUUUGAUGUCAACAGUUGUCCUUAAUUCUUAGUUCUGGUACCAGGGCUGGCAGCACCACUAAACACUGAGUGGCUCUGAGAUACAUACAUGCCAAGCACCAACCUUGAGAGAUGAGGCUCCCGGGCGUAGUGUUCGUUGCUCAUUACAAAUGAGCCUGUCUUCUAGGAGUUGGCCCUUUCCACCGCUUGUCCAAAUAUUGUGUGUGUGUGUGUGUGUGUGUGUGUGUGUUUGUGUAUGUGUGAGUGUGUGUACUCACAGGUUCCCACAUCUUACAUCUACCUAUAUCCCUCUCUUCCUUGUUUCUUUCAGACAGGGUCUCUCAUUGAACCAGAAGCUCAUGUUUUCAACCAGGCUAGCCCCAGGGAUCUACCUAUAUACAACCCCUCCAAAGCUGGGCUUUCAGACAUGUAUGACCAGCAUAUUUUUGUGUAUGUGGGUGCUAGGGAUUCAAACUCAAGUUCAUAUGCAUAUGACCCCAAGCAAGCACUAUUAUCCAUUGAACCGUCUCUCCAGUCCUAGGCACCCCUAUGAACACUGAGGUGAAUUUGGUUCCCACCUCUUUUGUAUGUAUAUUGUGUGUGUGUGUGUGUGUGUGUGUGUGUAUGUGUGUGUGUGUGUGCGCGUGCAGAUGAUGUUGCACAUGCAUAUGUGUGUGUGCAUUCAUGUGGAGGCCAGAGGUCAUCCUUGGGUGUCCCCAGCCCCCUUGUCCCCCACCCCGAGCCCCUGAUGACUGACACUGUUGGUGCCAUGCAUCUUUGUCUCAUGACUCAGCUUUCAUCCCGAGUCCCCUAGGGAGAGGCUACAGGUCAGAACACCCCUUUCUGAGAGCAAGCCCAUCUCUCUAGAGACUUUGCCAUUUGGAGCUAGUCCAAACAGGAGGAUUAUUUCCCCUCACAGCAGCCUGAUCUCUAGGCCAUAGGGAUUUUCCUGGAAAGUGAGCUGAAGUGCUUUAGCAAGACAUUUUUAUUUUAUUUUAUUUUUUAAACAGAGAGCUGACUAUUUGUGGCCUUUCCAGAUAUCAGCAAUAACUGGCCAAAGGAGAUACUCGCUGGAACAUUCCCUGGGUUGUCCAGGCAAAAGUCACAACUGCUCUGGCCAAUGAGAACGAGAGCUAAUUUGCUCCGAGGCCCUAAUUGGUUGGUGGUGUGAUGACGUGGGUACUAUCUUAAGGCUGUGUUUCUAGCCCCAGCUUGGCAGGCUUCCUUGAGGCAUCUGGCAGCAAUGAUCAACGCCUCUUUUUUUUCAAGGAGGCUCACAAUCGAUUCAUCCACGGACCGCAAGGACAGACUCAUUUAGUAGGACCAACAUGUUUCAAAGAAAUGUAUAUUUUCAUUAACUAGCCUCAAAGCGGUAAUUAUAUGUUCAGAGAACACAGUAAAAUUUUAUUUCUAAAUAUUUGGCAGCGAAAGGUUGAAGGCAGUGUGUGUCCAACAUGCCGCAUGUGUUUUAAAUAAACCCAGCAUCUUCUCCUCCAAAAGGAAGCGGGAUAUACAAUCAUGUAGACUUUUGAAAUUUAAUUUUUAGCAACAGGAUGUGUUUCUAAAUACCACUAACAUAUCAAAAAGAGAAUGUGUAAAGGCUUUAAAAUUGUUAUCAAAGCAAUCGCAAAGCAAAUGAGGCGCCUUUAAUUUUUUUCCCUCUCCUGCCUCCCCCCACUGCCACCCCUUCUUCUCCUAAGCAUAGUGGUGUCUGAACACAAAACUAAUCUCCACUGAGAAUCAAAAGCAGCAGUGGUGUCUUUGCCUGAGAUCCUGCUGAACUUGGACGCUCCCCUGAUCGGAUUCACAGUUUAUAAUCACAGUUAUCACAGAACCAUUAAAAGCCUAUUAACUUGAAUUCCCACAAUUCCUUGAGGGCAAGGGCAAGGAGAGAGAGAGAGAGAGAGAGAGAGAGAGAGAGAGAGAGAGAGAGAGAGAGAGAGAGAAAGGAAAGAGAGCGAG